rnacentral:tRNA from 1 species
GGGCGGUUAGCUCAGCUGGUAGAGCAUCUCGUUUACACCGAGAAUGUCGGCGGUUCGAACCCGUCACCGCCCA